rnacentral:rRNA from 1 species
CGCCUCUUGACUAACUGCCCAGUGACUCUGUUUAACGGCCGCGGUAUCCUAACCGUGCGAAGGUAGCGUAAUCACUUGUUCUUUAAAUGAGGACUAGUAUGAAUGGCAUCACGAAGGUUACACUGUCUCCUUUUUCUAAUCAGUGAAACUAAUCUCCCCGUGAAGAAGCGGGGAUAAUGAUAUAAGACGAGAAGACCCUAUGGAGCUUUAAACUAAGUAACACUCGCUUCUAAACAUCUUUACUCCAGAGUAUGUAAUAAUAAUUUCAGCCUGCUGAUUACUAGUUUUGGGUUGGGGUGACCGCGGAGCAUAAAACAACCUCCGCAUUGAACGGGGAUACCCCUGAGCUACGAGCUACAACUCUACGCACCAAUAUAUUGACAUCCAUUGACCCAAUAUAAUAUUGAUCAACGAACCAAGUUACCCUAGGGAUAACAGCGCAAUCCGCUUCAAGAGCUCCUAUCGACAAGCGGGUUUACGACCUCGAUGUUGGAUCAGGGUAUCCCAGUGGUGCAGCCGCUACUAAAGGUU